GGCUCAGGACGAACGCUGGCGGCGUGCUUAACACAUGCAAGUCGAGCGGAAAGGCCACUUCGGUGGUACUCGAGCGGCGAACGGGUGAGUAACACGUGAGUAAUCUGCCCCUGACUUUGGGAUAGCCACCGGAAACGGUGAUUAAUACCGGAUAUGACGCGGCCUCGCAUGGGGUUGUGUGGAAAGUUUUUCGGUCAGGGAUGUGCUCGCGGCCUAUCAGCUUGAUGGUGAGGUAAUGGCUCACCAUGGCUUCGACGGGUAGCCGGCCUGAGAGGGUGACCGGUCACACUGGGACUGAGACACGGCCCAGACUCCUACGGGAGGCAGCAGUGGGGAAUAUUGGACAAUGGGCGGAAGCCUGAUCCAGCAACGCCGCGUGAGGGAUGACGGCCUUCGGGUUGUAAACCUCUUUCAGUACCGACGAAGCGCAAGUGACGGUAGGUACAGAAGAAGCACCGGCCAACUACGUGCCAGCAGCCGCGGUAAUACGUAGGGUGCGAGCGUUGUCCGGAAUUAUUGGGCGUAAAGGGCUCGUAGGCGGUUUGUCGCGUCGGGAGUGAAAACGCCGUGCUUAACACGGCGCUUGCUUUCGAUACGGGCAGACUAGAGGUAUGCAGGGGAGAACGGAAUUCCUGGUGUAGCGGUGAAAUGCGCAGAUAUCAGGAGGAACACCGGUGGCGAAGGCGGUUCUCUGGGCAUUACCUGACGCUGAGGAGCGAAAGUGUGGGGAGCGAACAGGAUUAGAUACCCUGGUAGUCCACACCGUAAACGUUGGGCGCUAGGUGUGGGGUCCAUUCCACGGAUUCCGUGCCGCAGCUAACGCA
rnacentral:rRNA from 1 species